CUGGUUUUCCGUUCGCCGUUAUUUUUCUUUUCUGCGCCCGCUGGCCACCAACACAUUACCUCCCCUCUCUCUCUUUCCUCGUUCAUUUCUCUCCUUCGACUUCAGUUACUUGAACGACCAAGAUGAAAUAUAGCCGUUGAUAUCAUUACAAGUAACAUUAAUUUACUCCAUAAGUAGCACCCACCAAAUCCUUUUCCCAUUUCUGACUCAUUCUCUGCGUGUGAUAAUUUUGGUAUUGAAAGUCUUCGAAAGAAUCAUCGCAUAGCACCACUACAUCGCUUUUUAAACGAGUACUGUUUUAAGUUCAUACUUCAACAGGCCCAGCAUUACCUGUUCAAAGAAAUCAAAACUUGUACGUUUUCACCUCUCUCCAUGUUACACCUCUUGAUUUUCUAUCACUAAUUUUCUUUUCUUUUAUUGGCUUUUUAAAACCUUAUUGGAUCUGUAGCUAAUUGAGUUUUGAGUUUGUUUCUUGCGAAUCAAUGUGUUUCGGGAGGAUCACCGGUUGAGCAAAAAAAAUAAAAAAGUUAAAGCGAAGAAAAAAAAAAAAAAAAAGAGGGAAGACUACUGCUGCCUAUAUGAAGUAUUAAUUGAAAAGAACCUAAUCCCCAGACGCUUCAACCAUGAUACCUUCAUCUCUCCAGAACCCGUGCACUGGCCCUCGCCCUCCUCUACACUGCUAAAGAGGGUUUGGUCUGAACAGUCAAGCGAUGCUCCACAAGCUAAAUUAUACGACUGACAUGCCGAAUGGCAUACCCGAAGCCUGUCAUCACCAUCGUUGUCACACUUUUGGAUGGAGAUCCAGCACGCUAAUCGUUUAGCAACUGUGUCACAGUAGCUGCUGCCAAAGAUAUUAAAUAGCUUCCGGGCACCACCAGGGAACAAUCGAUGGUAGUUGGGCAUGACAACAACUUCUUCUAGCUGCUGCAGUAUACUUGGUUCACUAGGUGCACAAUGUUGACCAGACAUAUCACUCUCCAGCAUAUUUCUGCAAACAGAAAGGCUAGAGAGGAGUGUCGAGCUAUUCUGACAUGUGUAGCCUGCAUAAUCUGAGCAUCGGAAUUCGCAAACUCCAUUAUCACAAACCCCACCAUGAAGGCUGCAUUGUUCAUCACAAGCAGCUGCAUUUAACACAAAGAUGCACUAUCAGAGAAUGGUAGACCAAACAUAGUUAAGGAAUUUUAGCUCAUAGCGUCUGCAGUCAGCCUCUACUUGAGUUGGUACCUAUUGAAUAGAAAUGCAAAACACAGGAACAAAAACAAGAAAAACCACAACAACAACAAUAAGCAUCAGCCAGAUGGUCCGGAUCAAAAUUUAAACUCAAUGAAAAUCCCAAGCAAACGCCAAAAUAGAAAGAAAAUUUAGCUGCAGACAUUGUUAUUUUGAUCUGUUCAUCCUUUAAAAAUACCAGAUACAUAUUUAGAACAUUCCAAAAUGCAAUUCAGGUACUUUGAAAACGAAUAGAAGAACGGAAAAGAUUCUUCUUCAAAAUGCAAGUAUCAAUUAAAGCUACAUGUUCUACAUUCAGAAUAACAGUCUUCUACUUUCCACCAUGAACAUGAUUCAGCACAAAUGAAUAGAAUACUACCAUUAAUUGAAUAUUUAUUCACCUAGUUCAGCAAACAUGAUUUUUCACCCAAAAAAAGGGGUUGGGUCCGAUUACCGGUAGAACAGUCAACGCCAGUGUAACCAUUUUGGCAUUUACAGUUCCCAUUUGAAAGGCACAUGCCAUGCCCAUUGCAAUUACCAGAGCAGGAGCGUUUGCUACAAUCAUGACCAUGAAAUCCCAGGAAACAGUGACACUUUCCAUCAAUACAGUCUCCAUUAAAAUUACAUGAACUGGGGCAUUGCCCAUGUACAGGAACUGAACUCAUAAUACAGAGUUCAUGGUAAGCAGGGCAAAUAAGCUCACCUGCAGGCAAAAACAUAAAACAAAUAAAAUACGUACAAAAAUGGAUUUCGUACUGAAGUACAAUAAAUAAAAUAGAUAAAACAAAAUAAUUACCAUUGAAGCCAGGGAACUGAACUGGUCCGCCAGCUUCAGGACACACUUUCCACAUACCAUCCACAGCAACCUAAAAGAAUACUAUCAGAAUGGCAUCAGGUAGAUAAUUGCAAAAGGUAAAAAAUAAAGAAAAAGAGAGACAAGUUCUUUAAUUCUUUUUCAUAAAAAAACAUAUUUGUAUUUAAUUUGAAUUACAGUGUUUCAUAAAAAAAAAAGCUUGAAUAAAUACUUAAGCUGCUGAACCAGAACCAUCACAAAUGCAUCUUAUAAAGUACAGUUUGGCAUGCAAGGGAACAUCAAAUGCAUCAAACCUCCAAUGCAUACCUCAAGAGAGUUGUUUACACAUCUGUGCUGAUAACAACCAUUUCCUUGGGUUACAGAACCCCGCACAAAACCAUUGCGUACCAAUGAUGAUGCCAUGCACCUAUGUAUGCAUUUAAACAGAAACUAUAUUACCAUAUUGUGCUAAAUAUACUUUUUUUCCCAACCGCAUCCUGAAAAACUUCCAAUCAUAAUUUUCACCUGGAGCUACUCCCUCGAACUUCACCCAACAUCCUGUCAGGUGCUCGUGCACUGUUAGUGUCUGUACAUGAUCCAUCAGAGUAAGCCACAAAGUAAGUACAAUAAUCAGCCAAUGAGGACUGCCCACCUUUAUUUGGUUGUGGAAAGUAACGAGCCCACUGAGGGAGGUCCCCACUAUAACUUAAAAUAGGGCAGUAACCCUCAGCCUCCCUGUUAUAUGUGCAGCCUGAUAAUUGGGUUGUGUUGCAAUGGUAUGCGCCCUUCCAGAGAUUGCAAGGGGAGGUAACAAAGUCAGUUCCUUGGUUGCGACCCCAUUCAAGAUGGUCCGCCAUGGUAUAGUUAGCCUGGUACCACCCGCUAUCCUCCAAUAAAGCCAGUGUCAUUUUUGAAACUACAGAUCUUGUAUCCACAGAUCCUGUCAUAAUCUCAUUCAUCAGAAGUCUUUUUUCCCAAUGUGACCCUGAUGUGCCACGUCCUCCCCCAUCUUCAAGUUCCAAACCCGUAAAAUUCUCAGAAAAUGCCUGCCAAUAAAUGAAGUCGUAAAAUUUUGUUGGUUUUGUGGCUUGUAAAAGUCAGAGAUUAAAUGCCCAGACACAUAAACAAAAAAUAUUUUGAAAUGAAAACACACCCUCCACUCCCAAAAUAAAAAGAAACAGAAACAAAAACAGAAAAGAAACAUUUCAACAGGAAAAGUGUUUCUAUUACCCCAUAAUGAUGUCGCGAGUGCAUGACAACACGUGGAAGCACCACACGUGUUACCAUCCGCCCAAGCUUUUCAUCCAUGACUUGUUCAGUAACCUGACCACGCCUUCUUUUCCUCUCAUCUCGAAAAUGGGCAAAUGCAUGGGGAUCAAAACCAAGAACAUGCAUAACCUCAUGAAUUAGAGUAGCUGAAAGUAAUGUCUCAGCCUCAGCCGUCAAAUGGCGAGGAGCAACAUUCACAUGUCCAGCAAUUGCACGGCCCCAUUGAUCGCGUUCACAUGCCACUGCCCAUGCAAGAGUGUUGCCUGUGGUAGGUCUCGUAGUCACCAAUAAAACCAAGUCUGUUUCAGCAACACCCACUUCAACAUAUUCACGUGGAAGCUGCACACCACCAUCUUGUCCACAAGCAGAAUAUCCACUUAACCGCAAGUUUCCCUUCACAGGCUCAACAGCCAAUGCUCUCCUAAACCAAUCAGCUGUCUGCCCCAAUGCCUUGUGGAGGCGGUGCCUUUUAUCCUCCCCAGAUAUAUCAUCUGAAGUGCAGUUAUACCAGCAGUCACCAUAAAUUGGAGGGUUACCAUGAGGAUUGCAAGGAGUGCCAGGAAGAGAAGUCACAGGAGGUUCCCCAAGCUUCACAAUGUCACCGACUUUUCGACAGUCUCUAUCAGGUGAGUGUCCAACAGCAUCAUAAUUUAAAAAAAUCCUAAUAGGUUGCUUUGCAUCCUUUUGCUGCAAUUGCAAUUCCGAAAUUCCAAGCAAUGCCCUCCCUUUGUGAUGAAGGGAUUUUGACAUAGCAGUAUGAUCAUAAAUCUGAGGGGUAACAGAGUACACCUUGCGACCAGGUCGCCUCCUCUGUUCAAUUAUCUGGUCAUGAAUGCAUGAAUGUGAGACAAUGUUUCCACCUCUUCUUUCAGGGCCUUGCCAUUGAGUUGGGUGCUCUUGGGUGUUCGCAUUAGCAGCUUGAAAGCAUAAAAAUAUCAGUGCAAUCUCGAAAACAACGACGGCGAAUCUGAGCUUAGUAAUAUCAAAUCUAGUGACCGAACAUAGACUACAGCAAAUAAUAAACUCCAUGAAAUGUCCAAAGCUACAGCACUAAAGAGUAUCGAUUCCAUCAAAUCACCGGCGAUUUCCCGAUCGGCCAAAAUACCUUGAAGAAUCGCUGGCUGUUCCGCAUUUCCAAUGCUAUGUCUAAAGACAAAUAAAUAUAUAAAAAAUCUCCGAGAGAAACUUGAAAAUAUCUGUGCGAUUUUGGAAUGACAGAAAAAGAGUGAAAAAGAGGUGUCCCUUGGGUUUUAAUAGAAGCAGAGGUUUUCUUAAACAGAUUCAGAGUGAUUUGUUGUUGAAACGUGAUAUGUAGUGUAGACUCGAAAUCGAAGGCUUGUUUAGCUCAACUAGAUUUUCCUGAGAAAAUGGGAAAGAAACAGCGCCAGUGAAGACAGAAAGAAGCACAGAGAGA
rnacentral:misc_RNA from 1 species